ACCCCAUAAUAUACUGGAUGGCAUCAUUCGGUAUUGAAAACUCCGGUGGAUAGAGAUGGGCACGCGCAAGAUUAGAUAGUUGGUGAGGUAACGGCUCACCAAGUCUGCGAUCUUUAGGGGGCCUGAGAGGGUGAUCCCCCACACUGGUACUGAGACACGGACCAGACUCCUACGGGAGGCAGCAGUGAGGAAUAUUGGACAAUGGGUGAGAGCCUGAUCCAGCCAUCCCGCGUGAAGGACGACGGCCCUAUGGGUUGUAAACUUCUUUUGUAUAGGGAUAAACCUACUCUCGUGAGAGUAGCUGAAGGUACUAUACGAAUAAGCACCGGCUAACUCCGUGCCAGCAGCCGCGGUAAUACGGAGGGUGCAAGCGUUAUCCGGAUUUAUUGGGUUUAAAGGGUCCGUAGGCGGAUUUGUAAGUCAGUGGUGAAAUCUCACAGCUUAACUGUGAAACUGCCAUUGAUACUGCAAGUCUUGAGUGUUGUUGAAGUAGCUGGAAUAAGUAGUGUAGCGGUGAAAUGCAUAGAUAUUACUUAGAACACCAAUUGCGAAGGCAGGUUACUAAGCAACAACUGACGCUGAUGGACGAAAGCGUGGGGAGCGAACAGGAUUAGAUACCCUGGUAGUCCACGCCGUAAACGAUGCUAACUCGUUUUUGGGCUUUCGGGUUCAGAGACUAAGCGAAAGUGAUAAGUUAGCCACCUGGGGAGUACGAACGCAAGUUUGAAACUCAAAGGAAUUGACGGGGGCCCGCACAAGCGGUGGAUUAUGUGGUUUAAUUCGAUGAUACGCGAGGAACCUUACCAAGGCUUAAAUGGGAAAUGACAGGUUUAGAAAUAGACUUUUCUUCGGACAUUUUUCAAGGUGCUGCAUGGUUGUCGUCAGCUCGUGCCGUGAGGUGUUAGGUUAAGUCCUGCAACGAGCGCAACCCCUGUCACUAGUUGCCAUCAUUAAGUUGGGGACUCUAGUGAGACUGCCUACGCAAGUAGAGAGGAAGGUGGGGAUGACGUCAAAUCAUCACGGCCCUUACGCCUUGGGCCACACACGUAAUACAAUGGCCGGUACAGAGGGCAGCUACACAGCGAUGUGAUGCAAAUCUCGAAAGCCGGUCUCAGUUCGGAUUGGAGUCUGCAACUCGACUCUAUGAAGCUGGAAUCGCUAGUAAUCGCGCAUCAGCCAUGGCGCGGUGAAUACGUU
rnacentral:rRNA from 1 species